GCAACUUAGCUCACCACUAUGCCCCUUUAUAACAGUCGACAUAUGUAUAACAAUGUCUGUUAUCAUUUCACACCUGUUUAUUUAGGUCUCAGCUCUCUUUAUUUGUGUUUCUCUUAUACUUUUAUUUUUAUGUUGCACAGUUGAAGGAGCCUGAGACUCAAGAAUUGUAUUGCCAGCAACUGCUUCUGUAAUUGUAAUAUAGCAAUAAAGCACCUCUACCCUUGAACCUUGAACCUUGAUAAUGGUAGAGAGAAUGGUACAGGCUGCAGCAUAACGAUCAACUUUAUUGUUUUCUUUGGGUUGAAACACGUUGGUUCUUGGGCACAUUGCGAGACCGGUCAGGCAUCAUGACCAGUGUUAACUCUCCAGCCUGUCUACUAGCCAGAAAUCACUUCAAGAGAAGUCCUUGGACAGUGCUGGAGUCGAGCGGACAGACGGACGCCUCCGGCAGACAGAGACACAGACAGAUGACACUGUGGGUCACAGUGACAAUACCCCCAGGAUUCCCGGGGAGAUUCGGCACCCGAGGACUAUGGGUCAGCUUGGUCCUGGGUUCUUCCUCCCUCCCUCGCACCUCCCUCACCAAGCCUUCGGACAGUCCAGCCAACCCGAAGGGGAAAUAGGAAGAACGAAACAAACCCCAUCGGCCGGCAAACCGGAGGACCGUUUCUCCUUUUGAAUGGACACCGCAAAUGAACAAACACUUAAAAAAAGCCCUAGUGGGUGGUUGCUACAAAAGCCCUAGCAAUGGAAAACCACAACAUAAUUCCUAGCAACAGAUUACUGCUACAUAAUUCCAAGCAGUGGGUUACUGCUACAUAAGUCCUAGCAGUGGUAUACUACAUAAGUCCUAGCAGUGGG